ACGCAAACUCAAUUCACAGCUGCAGGUUUACUUCCAGGCUGGGGACACCUUCCACCUUCUCCCUUCCGGCUUCCAUCCACACUGUCAGGCGCCAGGCUUUCCAGGUGGCUCCUUCCACGGCCUCAACUAAGAAGUGUUUAGAUGAAGUGAGGAGGCAAAGCUCACUGUGUCAGAAAGCAAUGAUGGCGCACGAUGGUAGUCUGGAGCUCUUAGUGACACUCUGGAUAUCAUAAGAUGAGGACGUUGAGGCUGCCUUGAGAGGAGGUUUGUCCUCAAUGAUACUCCAUGCCGCCUGCCUGACACGGUGCGUCCUAUGGGAAUCUCUGCAAGAUGGACACUCCCAUCCAUUCUUGAGAUCUAGUCGCAGAAAAACAUCCCUGAGAGCAUUACAGCAGUUUACUGGAGCUGCGCUUCUGUGGGUCCUCAGAAGAGGCUUUGUCUCUGGAGGCAAGGGCUGGUCUCAAUGCUUGUACACUGCAUCAAAAUGUCAGGGGUGGGAUCAGGAGACCACGGCAGUUUAGCUGCAGUCCUCAUGUGUUUUACACACACACACACACACACACACACACACACACACACACAAACCCAACAAACAAAUGGUAUUUGUGCCCUGUGUCACAAGCUGACCAUCACCAACAACUUAUUCUGAUCUCCUGGAAAUUGUCAUCGAUGGAAAUUGAACUUAUCCGUGCAAAUCAGAAACAAACCAACAAAGACAGGAGCUGGGGAGAUGGCUCAGCAGUGAUGGGCACUGGGUGUUCUUCAGAGGACCCAGGUUCAAUUCCCACCUAC